rnacentral:rRNA from 1 species
CUCAAUUUGACUCAACGCGGGAAACCUUACUCGGCCAGGACACUUUUAGGAUUGACAGAUUGAGAGCUCUUUCUUGAUUAGGUGGGUGGUGGUGCAUGGUCGUUCGUAGUUCGUGGAGCGAUUUGCCUGAUUAAUUUCGAUAACGAACGAGACUCCGGCUUACUAAAUAGUCUAAGUUCGAAGGGACUUUUCAAGACUUCUUAGCAGGAUAAGUGGCACCUCUUAAGCCACACGAAAUGGAGCAAUAA